GACCCAUGUGUUCAGUGGAACAACCCUCUACAAGAAGAACAGAUGAUUUAGCAGUUAGAUGUUCUGUCAAUAUAAAAGUUCAAAAGUUCAGAAAAAAGUCUGUUGACUUUUAUGAUGAGAGCUAGAUUGAUCAUCUACAUCUUGCAAAGCUGACAGGGUAUGAACUUUCCUUAUGCACCCAAAACCGCAACAGAAAACGUAAAAUAAACCCUUAAAACCCCACAGAACUGCAAGAAAUAGUUG
rnacentral:misc_RNA from 1 species